rnacentral:rRNA from 1 species
CCUCANUAAUGGCGAAUGAACAGGGAUGAGCUCAGCAUGGAAAUCGGGGCCUCUGGCAUUGAAUUGUAGUCUCGAGUUGUACUGCCAACGGAGGCGCAGAUGUAAGCCUCUUGGAAAAGAGCAUCAACGAGGGUGAGAGUCCCGUUUGUCCCCUGCAAUCCCCCGUGCACGGUACGCUUCUAAAGAGUCACGUUCCUCGGGAUUGGAGCGCAAAGUGGGUGGUAAAUUUCAUCUAAAGCUAAAUAUAGGUUCGAGACCGAUAGCAAACAAGUACCAUGAGGGAAAGGUGAAAAGGACUUUGAAAAGAGAGUUAAAAGUGCCUGAAAUUGCUGAAAGGGAAGCGAAUGGAACCAGUGCUUCUUGGCAAGAUUGGUGCGUGCUAAUGUGAUUGGCUGCUGCAUCAGCGCAAGCGUUGCAGUGGUUUUUGAUCAGGAUGUGCGUGUUGUUUCUUGCCUUGUGUGUCAACGUCAGUUCUCAAUCGAGGAAAACGCCAGGGACAUGGUAGCUCUGCUGCGGUGGAGUGAAUGUGCUUGGUUGAACUCAUUUGUGGACUGGUUCAUGCGUGUCUGGUUGCAGUGUUUCGUGUUGCCGAAUUUUGUCUGAGUGUGGAUUUCCUCUCUCAGCUGAGUUUGGUAACUGGAGCAUCUCCCUGACACAACGACGCUGACUAAAUGGUUCUAUUCGACCCGUCUUGAAACACGGACAAGGGAGUCUAACAUAUGUGCGAGUUCACGGGCGGGUAAACCUGCUUGCGCAAUGAAAGUGACUGCUGGGAUCUUUGCACCAGCAACCGACCAAUCAAUUGAGAGAGGUUUGAGUAUGAGCAUAUCUGUUAGGACCCGAAAGAUGGUGAACUAUGCGUGGUUAGGGCUAAGUCUGGGGAAACUCUGAUGGAUGCUCGUCUCGAUACUGACGUGCAAAUCGUUCGUCAAAACUGCGUAUAGGGGCGAAAGACUANUCGAACCAUCUAGUAGCUGGUUCCCUCCGAA